UUCCAAAAUUCUUUCCUUUCCAUACCCUGCUAUGUGAAUGUUGAUUAAAUGUCUUAGACAUAUACUGGGAGCACCAUUAAUAACCACAUGUGCAGUGAGGUUACUAAUCUGUACUCUAGGUCAUUUGGCCUGUCUUUCAGCAAAGUGAUUCCAGUCUUGACCCUCCCUAAUAUUUGGAAACUAUGUACAAGGAGGUGACAUUUUCCAGGAUAGGAUGCUUUUAGCUUCCUCAUCACCCAUCUUAAUUUUUUCCUUUAUUGAAUAAACCAAAGCCAUAUAAGCUUCUCUUCUAUCUAGUACACUGGAACACUCUGUUCUGUUUUGCUCUUUACAGGUCAAAAUCUGUCACUCGACUUUACUACUCAUUAUAGUAAUUGCUCCCACCUGAAUUCUGAUGCCUAAAUGCUGCCAGCUGAUAUCCAUCAUGUCAGGAUCCUUACCACUUUGAUGGAUUCUGUUGUGAAUCAGGACUUUGCAUCAUGAGCCUGGCCUACCUGGAGAAGCAACUGUGGCCUUCAUGGUGGUUGGCUUACAGGACAUAUCUGAGUCGUUCACCAUUGGCUGUGGUUGAGGACUCAGUGGCUGUACACUCCAAUAGUCUGGAUGCCUCCAUGAUGUCAUUAUGGUGCUGAAGGUCUGGAGGAUAUCAGGAGAAUCACUGGCUUCAGUCCCCUUUGCAAUACCUUGCCAACUACAACAAAGGAGAGGACACUGUCACUGUCUUCCGACACACCAGAAGAGGACAUCCGAUCCCAUUACAGAUGGUUGUGAGCCACCAUGUGGUUGCUGGGAAUUGAACUCAGAACCUCUGGAAGAGCAGUUAGUGCUCUUAACCGCUGAGCCAUCUCUCCAGCCCCUAUUUACAGGUUUUAUAAUAUACCAAAUACUGCAUCAAUUGUUUCAAGCCUGUGAGCAUAGUUGAAGAAGACCCAUGUCACUAAGGUGAAGAAAAAAAUGGGAGGAAAAUUAUGAGCUAGUUUUGGUCACAUCUGGAAGUGAAAUAUGAACACCUGAAAUUUAAUUUUCAAAUGAUGAGAAGACAGCAGUUUGGUAAGUUAGAGUUCUGACGGGUAUCCCUCAUACCUGGUAUUAUUAAUCAAAUCAACCAAUGUACAGUUUUGUGUCCCAGAUAUUAUAGUAUACCACUAGAAAAUAUAAAUUAAGAUAUAAAACACUAAGAGCUCCUUUUCAUAAGAGGCUUCUUGUAAAGAAAGCAUGGGAUCUUUGAAAGGAUCCAAAAAUUGUGUUUUCUCGACUCAGUUCCUUUUUAGGUUCCUCAAAUGAAAAGACAACAUAAAAAAGAUCAAGAAGUUUCUAAAGUAGCAAAAUAAUAGGUCCCAUGUGUCCAAUAUAAGAUCAGUAGAGAUAUUCAUGCGUAAAUGAGAUAAUUUAUGUCAUCAUUGUUAUUUGUAAUUUUUAUUUGUAUUUUUUUUGGUUAUUUUAUUUAUUUAUAUGUCAAAUGCUAUUUCCCUUCCAGGUUUCCCCUUCCUGGUUUCCCCUCCACAGCCCUCCUAUCCCAUUCUCCAUCCCCCAUCCUCCUUGCUUCUCUGAGGGUACUCCCCCCAGUGAUAUAACAUAUGGACAUGGGUUGAAUAUGUGUACAUAUGCAUAUGCAUAUGUAUAUGUAUGUAUAUGUUUGCAUAGUAAAUAACAUUAUAUUAACAUAUUGACAUCUGCCAGUGCCUCUGCAUUUUGAACAAUAUUCUUGAAGUUGAUUCUAUGUUUUGGUGACUUCAACGUGCACAGUUCAACUCAAAAUCAGGGAGUGGGAAUGUGGUAGUUUAGAGGUACCUGCUUCUUAAUAGCAUUUUUGGUUUGCUUGAAUGAGCAUGGGCCAGAAAUGCAUGUAUUUGAAUACCUAGUCCUCAUUGGUAGAACUAUUUGGGAAGGGUUAGGAGGGUUCCUCAUUGGAGGAAGUGUAUAACUGGCAACAGGACUAGAGGUUUUAAAUGACUUCCACACCAUUCCAAGCUAACUUUAUCUGAGUUGUGUUCUGGUUGUGUCUCAAAAUGUGAGCUCUCCCCUCCUGGUCUAGCACAAUACCUGCUGUGGGCUGUGAUGUUCCCUGCCAUGAUAGUCAGAGACACUUAACCCUCUAACCCUCUGAAACGAUAAGCAAGCCCCAAGUAAACUCUUCCUUGGAUAAGUAGCCUUGGUCAUAAUGUCUUCUAAAAAAAAUUUAAAAACUAGGUAAGACAAUAUUGGCGUUUGACUUUGUUUUUCUUUUUUGCCAUUUGCUAGUGUACACACAAAAAAUGUGUUUACUACUUUCCUCUGGUGUUGUUAGUACCCUGGUUGUUCCUGUUUUACUUGCUUUUAAAUGUAUUUUUCUUUCUUAUUCACUCAUAUUUGUUGUUUGAAUUCCCCUUUACAGUGUGACAGAGGGGGUGGAAUCCAGCACUUACAGUUAGUUACGUGGAUGCUUUAACACUGAGCUAAUUUAUUAUCCAGCUUAGAUAAGAAAAAAACAGCACCUUACUCCACCCAUAAACCCGUGAUCCUCAGGACCUUAUUUCCUUUAACUAAAAGCAUAGAGGAAGUAGCAUUCCCCCAACUGACAACUCAGCUCCAAAUAGGCAUGGGUGAGCAUGUAGGGAACUUAAGAUGCAGCCUUGCACUGAGAGGCCAAACCUACUCCAUCUUGGGACUGGCCUUCAUUCUAAGAGGGAAAAAAAAGGGCUUAGAACUUGACCCACCGCUGGACCCAAGCUACAGCCAAGUACCAGGAAGUCCCUAGUUACUCUCUAGCAAUAGUUAAUCAAAGAUGAGUCUGAUUGCUUCAGAUGUAUUUCCUGGUCAUCUGUGAUUGUACACAGUCUUGCUUCAGAGCACUCACCUGUUGGCUUUCAACAGUUAUUUUAUUAGAUACUUGCCAGGAUGGACACCCCCUCACUUACUCCCAUUCCCUAUAAAACCUUGUCCUACUGAGAGUUCAAGUUUGCUCGGCUUUCCUGUCAUCCUGCUGUGUCAGGGUUGGGUUGGAGAAGAGCACAAGCCUGAGUUUAUGAUACAGAGACCCUAAUGUCUUUACAUCAGAAACUGCUCCAUGGUGUUCUUUUGAGGUUCAUAAACACCUCCUGGCGCAACAGUACAACAAUCCUUUCUACAGACUGCACAGCUAAAACUUACCGCCCUGUUCUUUUACCUUCUAGAAAUGUAAAAUUAUUAAUAACCACAAACCUCACAACAAACAUUUUAUACAUCUUUUAGUCAUCUUGACCAACUAUAACAAAUGCUGUAGACUGAGUGGUUUAAGGAACAAGUACUCAUUACUUACAUUUCUGAAAAUGUGGUCUCUAAGGUAAGGACAUUAGCCAAUUUGUGAUUUGGUAAUCUAUAAGAACACCAGUUGUUUGGGGUUCUAAUGAUCUAUAAGGAAUGGACACCAACUGCUUGGGGGUCACAUGAUCAUCCAUUUAUAUGGUAAGAACAACUGUGGUUUGGGAUUCAUAUUAGAAUCCUUUCCUAGUUUGAAAAUCUUCAUGUUAUAUACUUACAUGGCUGAAAAAAUGCUAUUUUUCUCAUUUCUCUUUUCAUGAGUACACAGCUAUUAUUUGUGUGCAAUGUCCCUUCAUGAUCUAAUUGCCUUCUGAUCUCCCUCACCCCCUGCCCCCCCAAAAAAUUCACAUUAGCCCAGGGUUUCAGCUUACUAACUUUAGAAGAAGAUGAACAGUCAAUCUGUAUCAAUAAGGAAGGAAGGGGGAAAGCAACAAUAGAGGUAUCCAUUUAUUUUGCAUGCUGAUUUUAUGUGUAUAUAUAUUUUAAGUCCUAUGAUGUUAACUUUUGAAUGCAAAAUUUUGGACAUUAUGUAAGUACCUAAAUUUCAGAAUGGAAAAAAAUUAAGUUAUAGCUAAGGGGAGAGUAAAUAUGAAAAUAUGAGACUUAAAUAAUCAAAACAAAAGUAGAGAAAGAAAUGGAAAGUGGUUGAAAUAUGAGAAAUAAGAAUCAAAUGUUUAUAGAUGAGCAACAUGAUACAAUGUUUGAAUCCUGACUAUUUCUUACUAGGAAACAGAAUAGUUAUCCACAGAAACACAUCCACAGUGCCCUUCUUGAUUGAUAUGUACAGAUAUCACAAACAGACCUUAUGCACAUCUCUUCUAAACAAUCUCUGGUUAUUUUGAUGAACAUUCCUUCCAUGCUCCUCUGGGCUAUGAGUCCAUUCUCUGGUUGUUUGUCUAUCAUUACUCCUAAUGAUAUUUUAAAUGUCUUUUUCCACCUCAAGGGAAUGAGAAUGGCUUGGAAAUGAAUGUUCCAUAACUAUUAAUGAGCUUUUUCCUACUUUGCACUGAAACAAUGUUAUCUGGGAUAGUAGACCAACUCUCUCUAAGUAAUCUUGCCCUUAGAUUAUAGCCAUUUAUGCUGUUUUUCCUACCAAGAUGAAUAUAGCAUUUAAGUGCAUUAGGGCUAAUGAUGUGAAAGAGCAAAAAAUAAUUACCAUUAUCAGCCACAAUGCCUAUUUUCAUACAAGCACCAUAAUUAGAUGUGCACCCAACAUUACUUAAAAAUUCUUCAUCAACUACUUCUACUGAGUUAUAUAGAAAAUAAAAAUAAAGCUUCAAUUCAGCUUAUUGCAUGAGCUACUGGAAACUUAGCGGCUCAGUCAGAAAGAUGCUCAGAGUACCUAAAUAGUACCUAUUACAUUUUCCUGAUGUUUCUAAUUGGAGGAGAGGAGUGAUACUGGGGGAGUGGGCAGGUAAGACUGAAGAAACCUAUUGCUCUUAGUGAAAUAAAGCUUCAUUCUGUACAGGUACUCUGCUUGUUAUGAGCACAGCAAGGCUUUGCUUGUGAAACGGAAUUAACACACUGUGAGGUUACAUACCUUAAAGAUAUAUGAGGGGAAGUAAUAUUUCUUUUUUUUUUAUUACCUUGAGUAUUUCUUAUAUACAUUUCGAGUGUUAUUCCCUUUCCCGGUUUCCGGGCAAACAUCCCCCUCUCCCCUCCCCUUCCUUAUGGGUGUUCCCCUC